UGAUUGGACGAGCAGUUUCAGCACAACUAGCACCAACUCGGUCAGUGUAGUUGAUAAACAGUUAAUCUUCCUAUCGGCUUCUCGGUUGAAUUAUUAUAUUCAACGCAGUUCUGAGGAAAUCUCGUCGAAACUGUCUUGAGUUUCGUCUGAAUGGCUGAAGCCUCCAUUACAGACACAUCGAAGUUGAAUCCAGAGUCUGCCGAGUUUGUACCACAAGCUAAAACCACCCAGCCCUACUCUAGGAGAAGUUACAGGCAGCAGCACCACACUCAGGACUGGAGGGCUCAACAUGUUCGGCCUCAUCAUCACAUUAGACAGUCCGAUGAGACUAAGCACAGUCAAGAUGAGUCUGAAAACCCUGACAAUAAUACAUUACUGCCUCCUGAACUUCCCAUCAGAGGAGACGUAAGAGGUAGAGGAAGAGGAGGAAGACAAAGAGGAGGAUGCGGUGAUGUUAGGCGCAUUAAUGACCGUCACGCUCCAAGCGAGAGAUGGACAAAACCUGGAAGUGAUAACGACUCCUCAGGAUGGGACCACAGAGCUUGUGGCCGUGAGCGACCCAACUCACCCACUUCAAAUAGAUCAAUAGAUGAGGAUAAGAAAGAGAGAUCAGCUGUGGAAGCCAAUGUAAGAGUGUCUUAUCAAGCUAGUCGACGUAAACAGACUAAUAAAGCAAGAGCAGAGAGAUCGAUAAAGGAGCCUCAGCCCAAGGACCAAGUGGAGAACUGGGAAAACCAGGCUGAUGCAGGAGUCACAAGGCCUGCAGCAGUUCAUGAACAUCCAGAGCCUGAGCAAAGGAACCUUAAGGGUUGGAGAGGUGGAGAUCGCCGCAUGCAGCCCAGUUCCUGGAGGAAAGGUCCGGCCCCUAACCAUGGGAUUGAGGGUAACUGGAGAGAAAGAGAACCUGCUCAGAUCAGAGAGGAGGAGAGGAGAGGUGCAGAAGAUGAAGGCAGAAGACAAGAGGAGUCCAGCAGAAACAGAGGAGCUGUGAGAGGGGAGGAGAGGAGAGGUACAGAAGAUGAGGGCAGAAGACACGAAGAGUCCAUCAGGAACAGAGGAGCUGUGAGAGGGGAGGAGAGGAGAGGUACAGAAGAUGAAGGCAGAAGACAAGAGGAGUCCAGCAGAAACAGAGGAGCUGUGAGAGGGGAGGAGAGGAGAGGUACAGAAGAUGAGGGCAGAAGACACGAAGAGUCCAUCAGGAACAGAGGAGCUGUGAGAGGGGAGGAGAGGAGAGGUACAGAAGAUGAGGGCAGAAGACACGAAGAGUCCAUCAGGAACAGAGGAGCUGUGAGAGGGGAGGAGAGGAGAGGUACAGAAGAUGAAGGCAGAAGACAAGAGGAGUCCAGCAGAAACAGAGGAGCUGUGAGAGGGGAGGAGAGGAGAGGUACAGAAGAUGAGGGCAGAAGACACAAAGAGUCCAUCAGAAACAGAGGAGCUGUGAGAGGGGAGAUGAGGAGAGGUACAGAAGAUGAGGGCAGAAGACAAGAGGAGUCCAUCAGGAACAGAGGAGCUGUGAGAGGGGAGGAGAGGAGAGGUACAGAAGAUGAGGGCAGAAGACACGAAGAGUCCAUCAGGAACAGAGGAGCUGUGAGAGGGGAGGAGAGGAGAGGUACAGAAGAUGAGGGCAGAAGACACGAAGAGUCCAUCAGGAACAGAGGAGCUGCGAGAGGGGAGGAGAGGAGAGGUACAGAAGAUGAGGGCAGAAGACAAGAGGAGUCCAGCAGAAACAGAGGAGCUGCGAGAGGGGAGGAGAAGAGAGGUACAGAAGAUGAGGGCAGAAGACAAGAGGAGUCCAUCAGGAACAGAGGAGCUGCGAGAGGGGAGGAGAGGAGAGGUACAGAAGAUGAGGGCAGAAGACAAGAGGAGUCCAUCAGGAACAGAGGAGCUGCGAGAGGGGAGGAGAAGAGAGGUACAGAAGAUGAGGGCAGAAGACAAGAGGAGUCCAUCAGGAACAGAGGAGCUGCGAGAGGGGAGGAGAAGAGAGGUACAGAAGAUGAGGGCAGAAGACAAGAGGAGUCCAUCAGGAACAGAGGAGCUGCGAGAGGGGAGGAGAAGAGAGGUACAGAAGAUGAGGGCAGAAGACAAGAGGAGUCCAUCAGGAACAGAGGAGCUGCGAGAGGGAAAAGGCCACUAAUACAGAAUCCAGGGUCAAGAAGAGGUGGAGGUCCAGAGCGACGGACCGGACUGGUGAAGCAUAUGGAGCCUCUCAAAAGCAAAGAAACCCAGACAGGUUGUCUAAUUGAGCAGCUGACGGAGGAGAAGUAUGAGUGUAUGGUCUGUUGUGAAGUGAUUCGGGUCAUGGCUCCGGUUUGGAGCUGUCAGAGCUGUUACCACGUAUUUCACCUUAACUGCAUCAAGAAAUGGGCUCGCUCCCCAGCAUCUCAAGCUGAUGAUGGCACUGAAGGUUGGCGUUGUCCUGCAUGCCAGCAUGUGGCUCUCAAAGCCCCUAAUGCAUACUCCUGCUUCUGUGGAAAGGUGACCAAUCCUGAGUUUCAGCGCACUGAGAUCCCUCAUAGCUGUGGAGAUAUGUGCGGGAAAAAGCGGAGUGGCGGGGAAUGCAAUCACCCCUGUAACAUCUUGUGCCAUCCUGGGCCCUGCCCACAGUGUCCUGCUUUUAUCACAAAGUCCUGCAUUUGUGGUAGAAUGAGAAAGCAGGUUCGUUGCAGUCAGACAGGACCUCUGCUUUGUGAAGAGGUCUGUGGAGCUCUUCUGAACUGCUCGGAGCACUUCUGUGCCCAGGUGUGCCAUUCAGGGCCAUGCCAACCCUGUCAACUUCGUGUUCAGCAAGCCUGCUUCUGUGGUGUGGCAUUCAGGGAGGUGGCGUGUGGGACUGACCGGGAAAAGUUUGAUGGAUCAGGACAUUUCUCCUGUAGCAAGCCCUGUGGAAAGAUGCUAGACUGCCAAUCCCAUCGCUGUCAGCAGUUCUGCCAUCCUGGGCAGUGCCAGUCAUGUCCACUCAGCCCCAAGCUGGUGCACAGUUGUUCAUGUGGACAGACUCCAUUAUCUAAGCUUCUGGAGCUUGGCUACCCAGAGAGAAAGAGCUGUACUGACCCGAUCCCCUCCUGUGGCAAGACCUGCAACAAGCCGCUGCCAUGUGGAGAUGGUGAUUCUGUCCACUUGUGUGAAAAGCUCUGCCAUGAGGACAGCUGUGGCCCAUGCUCUUUGACCUCAUCUAUGAAAUGCAGAUGUGGCAGCAACAGCAAGGAAGUUCCUUGUGCAGCCAUUCAGACUGAACAAGACAUGGUGUUUACAUGUGAGAAACGCUGCAACAAGAAGCGCUCCUGCGGCAGGCACAAGUGUGGAGAGUUGUGUUGUGUGGAUGUGGAGCAUAAGUGCUCAAUGAUUUGUGGUUACAAACUCAAUUGCGGUCUUCAUCGAUGCCAGGACCUUUGUCACCGUGGGAACUGCCAGCCUUGUUGGCAAACUAGUUUUGAUGAGUUGGCGUGCUACUGUGGGGAGACUGUGCUCUUCCCGCCCAUCCCUUGUGGAACGAGACCUCCUGAAUGUAAAAACUUAUGUACCCGAAGUCAUGAUUGUGAUCAUCCAGUGUUCCAUUCAUGCCAUAGUGAGGAGAGAUGUCCUCCCUGUACCUACCUCACCAAGAAGUGGUGCAUGGGUAAUCAUGAGCAAAGGAGUAAUAUCCCAUGCCACCUGCAGGACAUCUCGUGUGGUUUAGUGUGUGACAAGCUCUUACCCUGUGGUUCUCAUCACUGUAAGAAAAUAUGUCACCGUGGGGAAUGCCAGGCAGAGGGAGGGUGUAAGCAGCCAUGCACUCACCCUAGAGCUAGCUGUGGACACCCAUGUGCUGCUCCGUGCCACCCAGGCACCCCCUGUCCACCCACCAUCUGCAGUGCCAAGGUGGCACUGCAGUGUGACUGUGGCCGAAAGAAAGAGACCGUUCCUUGUGCUGAUGCAGCCAGUUCAUACCAAAGAUAUGCAGCUAUUGCCGUUGCCAGUAAGCUGUCAGAUAUGCAGCUGGGAGAGUCCGUUGACAUUGGACCGCUCACAAAGAAAGAGCAGAGAAAGGCCAGGUUGGAGUGUGAUCAAGAAUGUGCUGCACUGGAGAGGAACAGGCGGCUGGCUGAGGCCCUGCAGAUUGAUCUGUCAGUGGAUACCUUCAACAAGUCAGCGUCUUCCAAAUAUAGUGACUCUCUGAAAGAAGAUGCAAGGAAAGAUUUCAAGUUUGUUAGUGAAAUUGAAGAGGAGAUUAAGAAUUUAGUUGAACUGGUCAACAAGGGUAAACAGCCUAAGAGGAGUCACUGUUUUCCACCUAUGAAGCGCGAACACCUGAGAAUUAUCCAUGAGCUAGCAGAGGCAUAUGGUGUGGAAAGCGUCAGCUAUGAUAGCGAACCCAAGCGCAAUGUUGUGGUUACUGCCGUCAGGUCAAAAGAAACUCAGAUUUUAGAUUGGGCUUCCAACUGUAAUAGUGAAUACUAUUCUUUUUGGGGAAAUCAGUGUGUCCUAACACUAGUCUGGCUGCUUUGAUUGAAAGGGAAACUGUUUCCAGAGCUCCUCCUCCUAUUGCCCACAUCAAACAACAAACAAGCAAGGCCGACAAUAGUAAUGCUUGGAUGAAUCAAUCUAAAGAGGAGCCCACAAUUGAUUAUUUUGAUGUGCAGGAUUGACAUGAAAUUCUGAAUAGUCACUAUAAUAAUCACACAAAAUAAAACUGUCCAAAA